UAUGCAGUGUAUGUUGUAUUUUAGUUAUGAAUUUGGAUCCAUUAAAAUGUUAAUAAUUAAUGUUAUGAAGUGGAGAGUUAGGCUCCAUUUGGUCUAUGUUCCAGGAUAGAGACAUAGAAAUAGUGGAAAAUAAAAACAUGGAAGUUGUGCCUCAAUAUGUUGUUUAAUUUGGCUAUUGUGUGUAUAAUUUAAAACGAGUUUAUAUUUUAAUUAAAAGUACAUAAAAUAAAUGAGAAUAUAAAGAAGGAAACAUGGUUUAAUAAUCAGUCAAGCCUAGCCUUUUAAUCUGUUUCCAAUCCUUAAUUUCCAUGAUAGAAGAUAAUUCACACAUAUAUAUUGAUGCAUUUUUAGUGGAAAAUAGUUUUACAUGUGUAAUUAAUUAUGUAACAAUAUAUUAAUAAAAAUAAUUAUUUUUUAUAUUUAUUGUGUAAAUAAUUAUUUAAACAGAUAUAAUUGCACGANN
rnacentral:lncRNA from 1 species